UAGGGAAUCUUCGGCAAUGGGGGCAACCCUGACCGAGCAACGCCGCGUGAGUGAAGAAGGUUUUCGGAUCGUAAAGCUCUGUUGUAAGAGAAGAACGUGUGUGAGAGUGGAAAGUUCACACAGUGACGGUAACUUACCAGAAAGGGACGGCUAACUACGUGCCAGCAGCCGCGGUAAUACGUAGGUCCCGAGCGUUGUCCGGAUUUAUUGGGCGUAAAGCGAGCGCAGGCGGUUUAAUAAGUCUGAAGUUAAAGGCAGUGGCUUAACCAUUGUUCGCUUUGGAAACUGUUGAACUUGAGUGCAGAAGGGGAGAGUGGAAUUCCAUGUGUAGCGGUGAAAUGCGUAGAUAUAUGGAGGAACACCGGUGGCGAAAGCGGCUCUCUGGUCUGUAACUGACGCUGAGGCUCGAAAGCGUGGGGAGCAAACAGG
rnacentral:rRNA from 1 species